rnacentral:lncRNA from 1 species
GUUUUAUCCUAUUCUAACUUUGUUAAUAUUAUUUUUUAAAUUUUAACCAGUAGAUAGAAUUUUAAAUAACGCAAUUUUAAAAAUAAACAAAAUUUUUAAAUGCGGUGACCCUGCAGAUAGGGUGGACUUCCAGAAGAAGAAGAAGAAGAAGAAGAAGAAGAAGAAGAAGAAGAAGAAGAAGAAGAAGAAGAAGAAGAAGAAGAAGA